AUGCACGCUGGCGGCGUGCCUAAUACAUGCAAGUCGAGCGAACGGACGAGAAGCUUGCUUCUCUGAUGUUAGCGGCGGACGGGUGAGUAACCCGUGGAUAACCUACCUAUAAGACUGGGAUAACUUCGGGAAACCGGAGCUAAUACCGGAUGAUAUUUUGAACCGCAUGGUUCAAAAGUGAAAGACGGUCUUGCUGUCACUUAUAGAUGGAUCCGCGCUGCAUUAGCUAGUUGGUAAGGUAACGGCUUACCAAGGCAACGAUGCAUAGCCGACCUGAGAGGGUGAUCGGCCACACUGGAACUGAGACACGGUCCAGACUCCUACGGGAGGCAGCAGUAGGGAAUCUUCCGCAAUGGGCGAAAGCCUGACGGAGCAACGCCGCGUGAGUGAUGAAGGUCUUCGGAUCGUAAAACUCUGUUAUUAGGGAAGAACAUAUGUGUAAGUAACUGUGCACAUCUUGACGGUACCUAAUCAGAAAGCCACGGCUAACUACGUG
rnacentral:rRNA from 1 species